GCCCCACUUACAGUAUCUUCACAGCUAAGUUUAUUUGCUUUCAUUUCAUUGCAAGAGUUUUCUUUGUACACGAUGAAGCCUUUUAGUUUUAUUUGGAUUUCCUUGAUCUUUGUCUCUUGGAUCACAGGUUGCAAGUCCAGUAUUACUCUUACACAGCCUGAAUCCCAGCAAGUGGAGCCUUCUAGAUCAAUCACUCUGUCUUGCCAGGUAGAAGGAUUUGAUGUGAAUAGCUACUGGAUGAGCUGGAUUCGUCAGUUUCCUGGGAAACCCCUGGAAUGGCUUGCAGCCAUAGGUGGUAAAAGUAGUACAGAAUAUCACUCGGACACUAUCAAAAACCGGUUUAAGGCAUCUAAAGAUUUUUCAAAACAUAUUUUCUUCCUGCAAAUGAAUAACCUGAGAACUGACGACACUGCAGUAUAUUACUGUACUAGAGACUCACAGUAAGAGAAACUAACUGAA